AUGGGGGCCAGCAGUUCAGCCAAAGAUGAGUUUAGAUGAAAUGCCAGAUAGAUGUCAAUUCUGAAGCGCAGAGAUCUGGACUGCAGGUAAGAAUGAAAUCGCUGGUGUGUAGAUGGUGUUUACUACUGUGACAUGGUUAAAUCUAGAAAAUAAGGGUAGAGAAGAAAUGGGGCUAGUACAGUUAGAAACAAAGGCACUGAGUGAGUCACUCUCUUUCCCCAUCUAACCCUAAACACCACCCAAUAGUUAUUCCUGCUUCCAUCAUCCUGAGAGAUUAAAUAAAUAAAUAAAUAAAAGCCUGAAUUGAUGAGAUCACAGGCACCAGAGCACUGGCACCAUGGGAGAUUCAGUGGGAGGCAUCAGAAAGCAGAGAUAUCUAUCUUUUAAAUUCUGAAAACUUGAGUUAUCAGCCCCUUUUCUCCUUUUUCCUGUUGCUGUUGCUACCUUUCCCAUGACCUUCAAUAAACAUAGCUCCUUACUACUUGGCAAUUCUUUCUUCACUGUACACAAGCACUAUUAUUGGUCCAUUCAACUGUAACAUCUGGCAAGCCAGGCAGGAGGACAUCAAACCUCGGAAGACCUCACUGGACAAAGAGUGAAGGGACAUUAUUGUACAGCAGUCCAUGACCUCACCAGACAUUGGAAGGAUCAGCAGCUCAGACCUUCGGAGAUAGCAGAAGUGAGCAACCAGCAACCCAGGCAGCAAGGAAGACUCCAUGAUGUGGCAUGGGAAAUAUCCUGCAGAUCCCGCCAACCUCACCAUUAGGCUGAAUCCUAAUGUAUCCUUAAAAACCAAAAACAAUUUAAUCCUGAGAAUCUGAGGGAAAACCCCACAUUUAUUUUCUGAUGCAAUGCUGUUUGGAUUCAGUAUGAACUAGGAAAUGGUGAGAGAUGGAUACAGAAUGGCAGUCUAAAUUACUAUUCUUCUAGGUGAGCUGGUCCCAGCACCCGGAAGGAAGCUCCCCUGCUGUCAUCCCAAGCUCCUAGGGCACAGAAGUUGAGCCGCGUGGGCGCCAGAAGCCCCCCCCCCCCGCAGAAAUGAG
rnacentral:lncRNA from 1 species